UACGUAGGGACCAAGCGUUGUUCGGAUUUACUGGGCGUAAAGGGCGCGUAGGCGGCGUGGUAAGUCACUUGUGAAAUCUCUGAGCUUAACUCAGAACUGCCAAGUGAUACUGCUGUGCUCGAGUGUGGAAGGGCAAUCGGAAUUCUUGGUGUAGCGGUGAAAUGCGUAGAUAUCAAGAGGAACACCUGAGGUGAAGACGGGUUGCUGGGCCAACACUGACGCUGAGGCGCGAAAGCCAGGGAGCAAACGGG
rnacentral:rRNA from 1 species